rnacentral:rRNA from 1 species
CAGUAGCCGCGGGAAUACGUAGGUGGCAAGCGUUGUCCGGAAUUAUUGGGCGUAAAGGGCUCGCAGGCGGUUUCUUAAGUCUGAUGUGAAAGCCCCCGGCUCAACCGGGGAGGGUCAUUGGAAACUGGGAAACUUGAGUGCAGAAGAGGAGAGUGGAAUUCCACGUGUAGCGGUGAAAUGCGUAGAGAUGUGGAGGAACACCAGUGGCGAAGGCGACUCUCUGGUCUGUAACUGACGCUGAGGAGCGAAAGCGUGGGGAGCGAACAGGAUUAGAGACCCCGGUAGUCCCUGUCUCUUAUAC